rnacentral:rRNA from 1 species
UUGACCUCGGAACAGGUAGGGAUACCCGCUGAACUUAAGCAUAUCAAUAAGCGGAGGAAAAGAAACCAACAGGGAUUGCCUCAGUAACGGCGAGUGAAGCGGCAAAAGCUCAAAUUUGAAAUCUGGCCCCUUCGGGGCCCGAGUUGUAAUUUGUAGAGGAUGCUUCGGGCGUGGCCGCGGUCUAAGUCCCCUGGAACGGGGCGUCGCAGAGGGUGAGAAUCCCGUCUUCGGCCGGCCGGCUUCGCCCAUGUGAAGCUCCUUCGACGAGUCGAGUUGUUUGGGAAUGCAGCUCUAAAUGGGUGGUAAAUUUCAUCUAAAGCUAAAUACUGGUCGGAGACCGAUAGCGCACAAGUAGAGUGAUCGAAAGAUGAAAAGCACUUUGAAAAGAGAGUUAAACAGCAUGUGAAAUUGUUGAAAGGGAAGCGCUUGCGACCAGAGUCGGCCGCGGGGGUUCAGCGGGCAUUCGUUGCCCGUGCACUCCCCCGUGGCCGGGCCAGCGUCGGUUUCGACGGCCGGUCAAAGGCCCCCGGAAUGUGUCACCCUUCGGGGUGUCUUAUAGCCGGGGGUGCAAUGCGGCCAGUCGGGACCGAGGAACGCGCUUCGGCACGGACGCUGGCUUAAUGGUCGUAAGCGACC